rnacentral:lncRNA from 1 species
GACAAUUCAAAAUAGGGUAAAUUAGGCCCACUACCCUAAAAAAUUAACUAAAUUGAUUAAUACCCUAAAAACUAAUUAAGUCAACUAAGAACGUAUUAAAUACGUUAUAAAAACCCCCAAACCACUCCAUCCCAAUCCCCAGAUUCCUAGGCCACUUCGUCUUCUUCCCAGCUUCAACAAUACCCAAUUAAACCAAAAUCAAAACCCAGAAAAUCCAAUCAAAUUCAAAUUUAAUUAUGGAAAUUUAUAUCAAUGCAUUUCCAUGGGUGCUUGAGAACAUUCGAGCUAUCCGUUUAUUUGAGAAGCUGAUAACUCUAAUCUUCUUUCUCGUCGAACAGCUGGCGAAACAAAAGCAAAACCAUGAGUGUGUCGAUGGCCAAAGCUGAUAGAUGAAGGGGAAUCCAAGGUGCUUAGUUUCGAGACUACUGUGAUGAUACUGUCGCGAGUUUCUUCCUCAACUCGCAUUGUAGUAGAAACCUCCUCUGCCUGGUCUUCUAAGGAGUGGCCACUGUCUCGGGCCAGCAACCGUUAGCUCUGAAGUGGUUCCCAUCUCGAAAAUAUAUUUUAUGGUUGAGGAAAUAUCAGAAACUGAUUUUGGGUGUUAAACUCUAGAUGGCAUGAAACGGUAUACAUUCCCAAAAUCCGUUGCUGCAUGUUCAUUCUUUUCAAAGGUUAAG